ensembl:lncRNA
CUUCUCUCCUAAACAGAUUGCCAGAGCUGUUGGUGACAUUACUUCUCUCCUAAACAGAUUGCCAGAGCUGUUGGUGACACUACUUCUCUCCUAAACAGAUUGCCAGAGCUGUUGGUGACAUUACUUCUCUCCUAAACAGAUUGCCAGACCUGUUGGAGAAACUGAUAGACAUUGCGAAGGAGGAGGGGAUUCUAGUGAUUCCCAUGCUCCAUCUCCUCAAAGGUUCCUCCAAACCCUUUGAACCAAUCCCUGUCACAAUCACACCAAGUUGCAAGACUUGGGCAGGUCUGCAAAAUACUUGGGCAGGUCUGCAAAAAGUGACCAACACGUCACAGAACAGCAACGAAAGCAGAACCAUGUUGAAUCUCAUUAAAGCCAAUGGACAUUUAGUGGAGAUGGACAGACUAGCGAACCGUUCCUGGAUGUGUCUACUGACCGUAGAGGAUCUGGUAGAAUACAGCUCCAUUGUCAAAGUUGAGCUCCUGGAUAUACUUCUUGUUUUUACUGUGAAGGCUCCUGUGAGUGUAACCACCAGCAACAACGGGAAUUUCACUGCCACUCUUUCACAUAUUCAAAACCAUCUUAAAGAGCAAAAAUACAGGUGA